UCUGUGCCAGGGCGGCACGUGGUCCACGCCAAGCGACAGAGACUCUCAGGUUGUGCUCUCAGGAUGACCGAGUGGGAGACAGCAGCACCAGCGGUGGCAGAGACCCUUGACAUCAAGCUCUUUGGGAAGUGGAGCACCGAUGAUAUGCAGAUCAAUGACAUUUCCCCGCAGGAUUACAUUGCAGUGACGGAGAAGUAUGCCAAGUACCUGCCUCACAGUGCAGGGUAGUAUGCUGCCAAACGCUUCCGCAAAGCUCAGUGCCCCAUUGUGGAGCCCCUCACUAACUCCAUGAUGAUGCAUGGCCGCAACAACUGCAAGAAGCUCAUGACUGUGUGCAUCGUCAAGUAUGCCUUUGAGAUCAUAUACCUGCUCACAGGCGAGAACCCUCUGUAAGUCCUGGUGAAUGCCAUCACCAACAGUGGUCUCUGGGAGGGCUCCACACGCAUUGGGCGAGCCGGGACUGUGAGACAACAGGUUGUGGACGUGUCCCCACUGCACCAUGUGAAUCAGGCCAUCUGGCUGCUGUGCAAAGGAGCUCAUGAGGCUCCCUUCUGGAACAUCAAGACCAUUGCUGAGUGCCUGGCAGAUGAGCUCAUCAAUGCUGCCUAGGGCUCCUCCAACUCCUAUGCCAUCAAGAAGAAGGAAGAGCUGCAGCGUGUGGCCAAGUGUAAGCACCCAUUUUCCCGGCUGCUGCCCAAUAAACCUGUCUGCCCUUUGGGGCAACC